rfam:Aeromicrobium sp. Root344 contig_1, whole genome shotgun sequence.
GGGCGUAUAGCUCAGCUUGGUUAGAGCGCAUCCCUGAUAAGGAUGAGGUCCGAGGUUCAAGUCCUCGUACGCCCA